AACCCAUCAAUGUUUGGGGUUUGUUGUUGGUAUGUAGGCUAGCUGUGAAUUCUGCAUUGGCAAUUUGGCAUGGUCUUGAAAUUACACUAGCUAGCUAGGUGUUUGCUUGUCUCUGUCCGAGAAAUUGGCAUUCUUGAAAAUUAUGUGGGUUGACAGUUUUGUAUUGUAUGCACAUUGUCGUUGGUUAAUUUGGUCGAAGAAAUAUGCUGUGCAUCUUUCGUUAAAAAACAAGGUCAUAAUCCUUUCGUCCAAAAAAAAAAAAAAAAACAAGGUCAUAAUCCUAAAAGAAGAAAGGGUCAUAAUCAAUAUGACUUGAUGGGUUUAAAAAGGAAAAUCUGAUAUUUGGUUUUUGUACUUGUUUGUGUUAUUGAUAUAUUAUGAGCUUUGCAGAUGUGAGUUAGACCAGUUGGCCAUAACGGUGAGUUUGUUGCCUUACACCUAAUGUCGAGUCUCC
rnacentral:lncRNA from 1 species